UCUGCAGAGAUGUGGAAGUGCUCGAAAGAGAACUUGAACACAGGUGCUGCAUGGCCGUCGUCAGCUCGUGUCGUGAGAUGUUGGGUUAAGUCCCGCAACGAGCGCAACCCUUGUCAUUAGUUGCUACGCAAGAGCACUCUAAUGAGACUGCCGGUGACAAACCGGAGGAAGGUGGGGAUGACGUCAGGUCCUCAUGGCCCUUAUGGGUAGGGCUACACACGUCAUACAAUGGCCGGUACAGAGGGCUGCCAACCCGCGAGGGGGAGCCAAUCCCAGAAAACCGGUCGUAGUCCGGAUCGUAGUCUGCAACUCGACUGCGUGAAGUCGGAAUCGCUAGUAAUCGCGGAUCAGCUUGCCGCGGUGAAUACGUUCCCGGGUCUUGUACACACCGCCCGUCACACCAUGGG
rnacentral:rRNA from 1 species